CCCUUAGAUGUUCUGGGCCGCACGCGCGCUACACUGAUGCAUUCAACGAGUCUAAAACCUGGUCUGAUAGGGCUGGGUAAUCUUUUGAAUGUGCAUCGUGAUUGGGAUAGAUGAUUGCAAUUCUUCAUCUUCAACGAGGAAUGCCUAGUAAACGCAAGUCAUCAGCUUGCAUUGAUUACGUCCCUGCCCUUUGUACACACCGCCCGUCGCUCCUACCGAUUGAAUGUUCCGAUGAAUACCAUGGACUGAGAGUAUGAAUGGGUUCGCCUAUUUCUGCUUCUCAGGAAGUGGAGUAAAUCUUAACAUUUAGAGGAAGGAGAAGUCGUAACA
rnacentral:rRNA from 1 species